rnacentral:tRNA from 1 species
UGGAACGUGCUGAAAAGCCCGGAAAUGCUGAUCCCCAACAUUGCCAAGGUUGGGGUCGAGAGUUCGAAUCUCUUCGCCCGCUCCA